rnacentral:lncRNA from 1 species
AAUAGUGUGUGAGUGGACAUUUAUGAGAUUGGUAUUGUUGAAAUUUUAUUGAAAUUAAAAGGUUAAUCAAGUAAUUUAGUAAAUUAAUGUAAAAUAAAUAAAACAAAACAAUUUUAAUUCUCUUAUCAUCUUUUCCAACUGAUUAUAUAAGGGGAACGAAACCAUUUUUCUUCAUUUAGGGUUCGGUCACUUUGAAGCUAGAUUGGUAAGUGAUUUUUGUCCUAUUUUUAAUGAUUUAUAUGUUUUUGAAAUCGU